CAAUAGAAAAACGUCUGAGGGCUUAAAAACACUCAGAGGAUGAAGAGAUGGCCCUCAGUCUAAACAGUGGAUGACGUAUUGCUGAAGGCAUCUCUGGAGGAAGAUAUUCUGACCCAACCAAACCCCAGCACACAAGGGCCUACAUAAGAGGUUAGUUAUUCAAAUUCAUGAUAUAUUUACAUUCAUCCUUUUACCUCAGUUACGCCCACACAUCCAUCUUAGACACAACUUUGCACAUUGAUUUUAUUGUAUCGGUACAAUUAUUUGUAAUUAACUGCUGUUACUUUUUCAGAUUCUUAGUUGUCCUUCAGACAUAAUCUAUUUUAAGGUGACUCAGAGUUAUAUAUUUGAGAAAUUGUAGUGUGGCCUGCACACAGUUGUAAAAUAAAAAUGAGGUGGGGCACUUUUCUGGGUAAAGUUAUAAUUGAACUGUCUAAUCUUCUACCAGUUACUGACGGUGUAAUCUGUCUGGUGGAGGCUUCUGCCAUAACUGACCUCCAUGCAGUUGAAAUACUCAGCAGAUUUUUCAUAACGGGUUAGAGUAGAACACCAAAAUUGUUCAUUUUCAUUACAGGAGGAUGAAGACAGCUUGUCAGCUGCCACAGAGAGGGAUGAUACAGAGAGGCCUAUAGAGGUUUACACCUUAAAAAUAACAUCUAACAGUUGAUGAUAGUGUUGUACCAUAAUAAAACUUCCACCUUUUUCUCUAACAGAGCAAUGAAAUUACAAUGAGGGUCCAUCCACCUCCACAGCACAACUUGUUCAGCAUUGUUUUUUUGCCCUUUAUUUAACCAGGCAAGUCAGUUAAGAACAAAUUCUUAUUUACAAUGACGGCCUAGAAACAGUGGGUUAACGGCCUUGUUCAGGGGCAGAACGGUAGAUUGUUACCUUGUCAGCUCAGGGAUUCGAUCGAGUAACAUUUUGGUUACUGGCCUAACGCUCUAACCACUAUGCUACCUGCUGCCCCAAAAUAUGAGCAUUGGCCCAUGACUUGCAAUGAAACGAAGUAGACCUGGCACUGUGAAAUUCAAUGCCAUUUUUUUGUGUCCCUAUAGCUCCCUGUGGAACAGCUGUACAGGUUGUACUUAGAGAAACAAAUGGAAGAAUGUAAUUUAGAAACUGACCACAUAAGGCUACAGAUGCAAAAGAUAAAAAUAGAAAUACAACUGCUGGAACAUCAGUUGAAGGUGGUGAGGUGCCCACAGGUAGAACACCAGUUAAAGGUGGUGAGGUGCCCACAGGUAGAGCAUCAGUUGAAGGUGGUGAGGUGCCCACAGGUAGAGCAUCAGUUAAAGGUGGUGAGGUGCCCACAGGUAGAACACCAGUUAAAGGUGGUGAGGCGCCCACAGGUAGAACACCAGUUAAAGGUGGUGAGGUGCCCACAGGUAGAACACCAGUUAAAGGUGGAUGAGGUGCCCACAGGUAGAACACCAGUUAAAGGUGGAUGAGGUGCCCACAGGUAGAACACCAGUUAAAGGUGGAUGAGGUGCCCACAGGUAGAACACCAGUUAAAGGUGGAUGAGGUGCCCACAGGUAGAACACCAGUUAAAGGUGGAUGAGGUGCCCACAGGUAGAACACCAGUUAAAGGUGGAUGAGGUGCCCACAGGUAGAACACCAGUUAAAGGUGGAUGAGGUGCCCACAGGUAGAACACCAGUUAAAGGUGGAUGAGGUGCCCACAGGUAGAACACCAGUUAAAGGUGGAUGAGGUGCCCACAGGUAGAACACCAGUUAAAGGUGGAUGAGGUGCCCACAGGUAGAACACCAGUUAAAGGUGGAUGAGGUGCCCACAGGUAGAAUAUCAGUUAAAGGUGGAUGAGGUGCCCACAGGUAGAACAUCAGUUAAAGGUGUCCACAGGUAGAACAUCAGUUAAAGGUGGAUGAGGUGUCCACAGGUGGAUGAUUUUACUUGUUUGA